rnacentral:rRNA from 1 species
GACGAACGCUGGCGGCGUGCUUAACACAUGCAAGUCGAACGGUGAAGCAGAGAUUUCGCUGUGGUUACGUUGCGAACGGGUGAGUAACUAGUGAGUAGCCUGCCCUUGACUCUGAGUUAGGUGGCGUAGACGACGCGUAAUACUUGACGCGACGUACAUAGGCAUGUUCUGGUUGAGGAAAGAAUAUUGUUCAGGUAUGACCUCGAGACGCAUCAGCUUGUUGGUAAGGUAAUGGCUUACCAAGGCAACGACGCGUAGACGUCCUGAGAGGGUGAUCGGCCACACUGGAACUGAGACACGGUCCAGACUCCUACGGGAGGCAGCAGUAGGGAAUCUUACGCAAUGGGCGAAAGCCUGACGGAGCAACGCCGCGUGAGUGAUGAAGGUCUUCGGAUCGUAAAACUCGGUUAUUAGGGAAGAACAAAUGUGUAAGUAACUAUGGACGUAUUGACGGUACCUAAUCAGAAAGCCACGGCUAACUACGUG